rnacentral:rRNA from 1 species
GAUGAACGCUGGCGGCGUGCCUAAUACAUGCAAGUCGAGCGAACAGAUGAGGAGCUUGCUCCUCUGACGUUAGCGGCGGACGGGUGAGUAACACGUGGAUAACCUACCUAUAAGUCUGGGAUAACUUCGGGAAACCGGAGCUAAUACCGGAUAAUAUAUUGAACCGCAUGGUUCAAUAGUGAAAGACGGUUUUGCUGUCACUUAUAGAUGGAUCCGCGCCGCAUUAGCUAGUUGGUAAGGUAACGGCUUACCAAGGCAACGAUGCGUAGCCGACCUGAGAGGGUGAUCGGCCACACUGGAACUGAGACACGGUCCAGACUCCUACGGGAGGCAGCAGUAGGGAAUCUUCCGCAAUGGGCGAAAGCCUGACGGAGCAACGCCGCGUGAGUGAUGAAGGUCUUCGGAUCGUAAAGCUCUGUUAUUAGGGAAGAACAAAUGUGUAAGUAACUAUGCACGUCUUGACGGUACCUAAUCAGAAAGCCACGGCUAACUACGUG